CUUGACCGAGCCCAGCCGCAGCGGUUUGCCCUCGGGCCGUCCCUGCCCGUAUGUGGCCAGCAACGCGUGCGCCUC
rnacentral:antisense_RNA from 1 species